CUUAGAAUUGUUAGGGUUUCGAAAUCUUUUAUAAAAUCCGACGAAGGAGAUGAGUGAGCUGUUCUUUCUGAAUCUUUUUGCCCUUCGGUCUUUUUGAUGUGAUCAAGUUUCCGAGUGCUACUGUAGGUUUUUGUCUGUCACGAUUUUGGCUAGAGUAGAAGAAAACCUUGGUUCAUUUCUCUGUGUAGAAUUUCUGAGCGUGAGAGCCACCGGGGUUUCUCACGAUUGGGGGGUCAAAGAUUUUCUUUUUUCUUUUUAGCAAAAGAUGUCAAGAUUUGUUAGGAGCAUACAUUGAAAAGGAUAUUUUGGACGAAGUUGUAUUAAGGUUUAUUAGGUCUACUUUUAAUGCGUUCUUGUGAGGAAAAGCGUGAGUACGCUUGAUGAAAGGGCAUCGAAACAGUAAAUAAGUGUCGUUACCUUUUAAUCAGUUGAGACUUCUUUGCAAUCAUAGGAUUUCCAUUGUUUUUUUGGGCCUUCAAGAGAAGUGUGCAGAAUAAAGUAGCAGACAUAACCCUAGAUUCAAAAUUGCAGCUGCACUGCUAAACAAUUGAACACCCAGCAAUUAUAUUUGAGAGCUUGUACCCUUAAUUAUGAUUGUACGGAUGACUUCAUAUUGGAUCUUCUUUUAAUAAUUAGAUAUCUGAAGAUAACUAGAAGUGAGAGUUGAUCUUAACAUGCGACUUAUAUAGCAUGUAUCAUGCCUCUGACUGGUAAAAACUCACAAAAUUUUAGUGCUUCAAACCUUUUAAUUACUUAUCCAAAUGUUCUACAGUUCCAAGGUACUGAGGUAUUCAUGAUUUCCAAAGUGAAGGUCAUCAUUCACCACAUGAUGAAAUUUCAACUUGCGAAGAACUUUGUAUGUGCUUUGAUAUCAAUACUUGAAUCACUUGAACUUCCUCUAUCAGACCUAUAAACAACCUGAGACAUUUUGUUAUUGCUCAAGGAGACUAUAGUUUCAAUAAAAUUCUAUUUUUGAUAUAGAAACAUUUUAUGGCGAAUUAAUUGCUUACGUAAUUUGAGAACUCAUAGACCAGUUGUAAAUCUUGAAGGCCUUUCUUAAGUUGCACCUCUAAGAAAAAAUUCAAAAAGUUGAUAGAAUAAAAAUCUUGUACAGCUGCAAUUGUCUCUUGUCUCUAAGUGCUUGAAACUUUUGCAUGGAAGGCACCAACAUCUAACCCCUCAUGUAUGAUGCAGUCUCAAGUUGUAAAAUCCGCCGAUGCCAUGGUCUAGAGUACAUGCAACCAUUAAAAUAAUAAAUCCAUGAAUGCUUAAAGCUUUCAUCCAUCUAUUUUCUCAUAUCAUUAAUCUUGUUUCCCUCUCUCUAUAAGAAAUGCAUACAAAAGCAUGCAUGCAUUAUGCGUCUACUUUUCUAUAGAUAAAUAUGUAGAUAGCACCAGUGCCUUUUUAUUUGAUAUCCUGAUGACUCAACAUGCGGUAUGAACUGGAUUGCAUGUGAUGUUUCCUGAUUAUAUCAUGAAAUUCAAAUGUGAAGCUUCUUUACUUGCUUAAUGUUUAUGUAUUGCAAUCUAUUUGCAGAUUAUUAUAGUUAACACAAGUAGACAGCAUUAACUGUGUACAUUUGAACUGCACAAGUUUGUCAUCAGCAUUAUACCUUUUACUUUAUUAAAUAUAAAAUCCUAUUUCUGGUGUCAUGUGAACCUUAUAUGGAAUUGAGUGUUUGAUUAGGAAUCUUUUCUUUCUUAAAUGUGCUGGCUUCUAGUAUAAUUGGAUCUCUGUACACAUCAUUUACUUUUUUUUUUUUUAUAUAUAAUUCUUGUUUCUGUUGUUUCACUUCCAUUGUUGAUCUUUUCUGGUUCUCUGACAUGAUACACAAAGGAAGCCUUUAGAUGCAGCUACCUGCAGUUUCAGUCCAAUCAGUUGUCUGUCAUGGAUCCCUUCCAAAUCAUGCAAUAUGUAAGUUCAUCUUGCAGAGCUGGCAUCUUCUAAACCAAAUGGACAAUUUUCUCCAUCAACAUGUAGAGUUCCUUUAAGCAAUGCAGUUUCUGGAAAAUACCAUAUCCGACUCCAGACAAAUCAGGAAGCAAUCUUAGGUCUGACAAUUCAUCUUUAGGAUCAACUGAAUCAAGUUCUCAUGUAGAAGAGGGCUCAAACUGUCUGUCCUUUCCUAGACAAGAGCUUUCACAGUAUCUGUUUGACCAUCAGGUUUACCUUCACAAAUUAAGGGUUGUGCAUUUGCAUGUAUUGGCAUCAGAGCAAUGGAAAUUUUGUCUUAAAACAUGCUGCAGGUGUUAUGAUUGCUAGAGGAGAUCUUGCAGUGGAGUGUGGAUGGCAUCAGAUGGCCAGUAUUCAGGAACAGAUCUUGUCCAUCUGCAGUGCUGCACAUGUGCCUGUUAUUUGAGCAACCCAGGUUAUAGAAUCGCUUACAAAAUCUGGUGUUCCUACUAGAGCGGAGAUCACAGAUGUAGCCAGUGGCCUGAGGGCUAGUUGCAUGAUGCUUAACAAGGGGAAUCAUAUCGUAGAGGCCGUUGCAACUUUGAACUCUAUUUUGUGCAACUGUACUGCAAAGAAUGUGAAGACCUUACUGAAACCACUUUCCCCAUCAAGCUGCUAAAUCAGUCACUUUGCCAUUGCCCUUCUACACCAGAUCCCUUGCAAUCUGAAUCUCCUUGGUUCUAUCAAAUGCGUCUAUGAUGGCGGUAGCUAUUUUAUACUUAUGCACUAGUUUUCAGGUUCUGUGCAGAACUGUCUGUCGGGCUUGCAUCUAGGUAUGGUGUUCUAUGCUUCAUUAUGUAAAUCAAUGUGAUUUGAUUGUUGUAUAUAUAAAUCAUAGAAUUGUUACAGGGUUAUGUAUAUAAUCAUUUCAUGUCGGAUGGUUUUGUAGCUGUGACAGAGUCGAGAGGUUACCAAAUUACGGCAAAAACCAGACUCUGCUUGGUGAGUGUGACCGAACUGUUGUGAUGAUAGAUAAAAUCUGAGCUAAUGAUUGUGAAUUGGUGAUUGUAGGUAACACUCAUGUAUGUGGUGGAUUGACGUUUUUUGUUGAGAUAAUCGCCAUAAAUACUCCUUUUGAGUAUGAGGUUGGAAUCCUUUCCUUACCUAGCCUUAAUAAACAAUUUAAAGAAAGAAGUGAAUGUCAAAAUGAUCCUAGGAAAAGCUUAUACGAGCUUCCAGUUUGUAUUUAAUUUCAUGGAUACUGGUGCCUCAGCCCGUGGGAACUGGAAUAAUCAGUUUCUUCAGUAGCCUGAGUUUACCAACAAUCGAGUUCAAUUUCAAAAUUCUUUUCUUUU